GAUGAACGCUAGCGGGAGGCUUAACACAUGCAAGUCGAGGGGCAUCACGAGGUAGCAAUACUUUGGUGGCGACCGGCGCACGGGUGAGUAACACGUAUGCAACCUACCCUGUACAGGGGGAUAACCCGGAGAAAUUCGGACUAAUAUCCCAUGAUGAUAUUGAGGGGCAUCCUUUAAUAUUUAAAGCUCAGGCGGUACGGGAUGGGCAUGCGGAACAUUAGCUAGUUGGCAGGGUAACGGCCUACCAAGGCUACGAUGUUUAGGGGACCUGGUAGGGUGAUCCCCCACACUGGUACUGAGACACGGACCAGACUCCUACGGGAGGCAGCAGUGAGGAAUAUUGGUCAAUGGGCGCAAGCCUGAACCAGCCAUCCCGCGUGAAGGAAGAAGGCGCUAUGCGUUGUAAACUUCUUUUCCAGGGGGUGAAUAAUUCCGAUGUAUCGGGAGAUGACGGUACCCUGGGAAUAAGCAUCGGCUAACUCCGUGCCAGCAGCCGCGGUAA
rnacentral:rRNA from 1 species